rnacentral:rRNA from 1 species
GACGAACGCUGGCGGCGUGCCUAAUACAUGCAAGUUGAGCGCUGAAGGUUGGUACUUGUACCAACUGGAUGAGCAGCGAACGGGUGAGUAACGCGUGGGGAAUCUGCCUUUGAGCGGGGGACAACAUUUGGAAACGAAUGCUAAUACCGCAUAAAAACUUUAAACACAAGUUUUAAGUUUGAAAGAUGCAAUUGCAUCACUCAAAGAUGAUCCCGCGUUGUAUUAGCUAGUUGGUGAGGUAAAGGCUCACCAAGGCGAUGAUACAUAGCCGACCUGAGAGGGUGAUCGGCCACAUUGGGACUGAGACACGGCCCAAACUCCUACGGGAGGCAGCAGUAGGGAAUCUUCGGCAAUGGACGAAAGUCUGACCGAGCAACGCCGCGUGAGUGAAGAAGGUUUUCGGAUCGUAAAACUCUGUUGGUAGGGAGGAACGUUGGUGAGAGUGGAAAGCUCAUCAAGUGACGGUAACUACCCAGAAAGGGACGGCUAACUACGUG